GAGCGAGAGAAAGCAAGAGUGAGAGUGAGAGUGAGAGCGAGAGCGAGAGCGAGUGACAGCGAGAGCGACAGAGAGAGAGAGAGAAGCAAGCAAAUGGUUGGUAACCAACGGGAGAAGAUGAGAGAACAUGCCUUAAACCUAACUUAGACUUUCAGAGACUCUGCUUAGCCCUUUGGGAGACUUUGGUUUGUAAUAACCAUCUGCCCUUUGCUGAAAUGGACAAAAUACUCUUCCUGAGAAAACAGCUGCAUCUUGACGAAAAACAUCCCUGGUAAAGUUUAGCAGUCCACAGUUUGGAGAGUAAGAAGAACAACCCCCAUAUCAGCUGAUUUAAACAGCUUCCUGUCAAAGGUCAAACUCGACUGGCACAUUUCCUCAGCUUCACCACUUAACUGUCAGCAAGAAAAUAAAAACAAGCCACUGAUCGUGGUGAGAAGCAAGUCCUUUACAUCCAAAGACAAAAUGGUGCAGCCAUGAGCAAUGGGGCUAGAUGCCAAGUUAUCAAAUCAUCAAGAUAGGCAAAUCAUCAAAGAGACUGAAAAAGACAUGAACUCAAAGCCAAGGUAAUAGCAACAUCAAAAUGCAGAUCUUCCAUCAUUUCCAUAGGUGCCACGUAGCUAAGCGCAUUGAAUGGAUACUGAUUGCUAAGAAAGAAAAAAAAACCCUAAAUUGGGAGUUGGCAUUAUCUUGAUAUAUUAUGAAAGGAAAAUAAAAAUUCAUGACCCCAAUCCACUAUGCCAAAGGGAAAAAUCAAGCUGAAAGCUGAGUCAUCCAAGAAACUGCCUUUCCUUUUAUUCCUAAGCACAGUUAUAUAUGAAAGGUUAAAGAUCUCCACAGGUAGACACUCUAUGUCCACCUUUUUCUUUUCUUGCUCUGUCACUGCAGCCUUGACCUCCCAGGCCCAAGCGAUCCUGCCGCCUCAGCCUCCCAAGAAGUUGGGACUACAGGCGUGCGUCACCUCACCCAGCUAUUUUUUUUUUUUUUUUGAUAGAGAUGAGGUCUCACUGUGUUGCUGCCCAGGCUGGUCUCAAACUCCUGGGCUCCAGUAAUCCUCCUGCCUCAGCCACCCAAAGUGCUGGGAUCACAGUCAUGAGCACCCAGCUCAACAUACAUCUUAUCUUAUGAAAAGUGUUGAUUUACUGAGCACAAGAUGAAUGUGUAAUGGACUAUUCCCCUACCUGCUCCUUUUCUCUCUUGCAACAUAUGGAUUACCGUACCCUCCCUCUUUUCCAUUCAGCCACUUUUCCUUUAAAUACUCAAGUCCUCAAAGUCAUCUUUGGAGAAAGGCACAGACCACAGAUUUUUUCUGUGAUUCUGUGUUUAUUUGUUCUGGGUAUGUCUUUAACCUUGGCAAAAUAAACUCCUAAAUUGAUUGGGACCUGUAUCAGAUACUUUCUGGUUUACUAUAUAUAUAUAUGUA
rnacentral:lncRNA from 10 species